ensembl:lncRNA
GUGCUUUCUGUCUCUCGACUGGAUGCUGAGUGAUAUACCCCCUGUUCCUGGGAGUCCCAUUGUCCUGCUCACCACCCUGAGAGUCUUAGCCCUACACCUUGGUGCUGGAGCUCCUAUUAUCUUAUCCAUGUGGGGAGGAGGGUUCUCUGCUCGUCGUCCUAAGAAAUGAGCCCUGGGGGUGGCUCUGUGUCCCAGAUUUAGUCUGGGGGGGUUCCCACAUCAGAGACUAUAUCCCUAGAAAUCCUUAUCUCCCACUUGAGAGGGGUCCCCAUAUCCAAUGUUCUGCCUUGGUGGGGUCUCUGUGCCUCAAACUCAGAACUCUGCUCUCUGUCCCUGUCCCUGGGAUUCCAGUCUCUCCCCUGCCCUUUGGUGCUAGUGUCUGAACCCCAGGCCUAAUUCCACGCACCAGUGGUCAGCUCACCAUGGCCCCCUAGGCUGCUGCUCUUGUAUUCUAAAUUCUUACAGGAGCCUCACCUCUUCACUUAUAUAGUCUACAGCUGCUUUCAUGCCACAGUGGCAGAGUGAGUAGUUGGAACGAGACCAUACAGCCUGCAAGCUGAAACAUUUACCAUGUAGCCCGUAUCAGCAAAGGCGCGCCUGUCCCUGCUUUAUACCGAGGGUCUCUGACAUCAACCCUGAGAAACCUCUGAGGGUCCCCACAGCCUGGAUUUUCCCUAGGGUCCCUGCCUCCCACAGUAGGUGGCCCUGGCCCUGUGAAACCCAGCCCAGGGGUCUCCAGGUCUGCGACCUCCAUCAUUAGUCCUGUGCACCUCCCGCCAUGGACACCCCAGUCACAUCACCCUCGGCCCCAGAGUCCCUGUACUCCAUCCAUAAUCACAUCAGCCCCAGUCCCAGCCCAGCCCAGCACCUUUGGUGAUGCAGCUCAGGACGCCUCCGGAGGGCUGGCACACCUGUCCCGGCGGACAGCUGUGUUCCUGGCACACCACGCCUUUACGCACAUGGCACGUACACUGCUGCCGACAGUCGUCAAUGAGGACUGUCUGCUCCGGCUGUGGGGAGAGAGGGCACGGCCAUCAGACACCACGGGUGGGAGCCGACUCUCACAUCUCUGGCAUUCUGGGCACAGAGGGGUUUGCAGACAUCACAGACAAGGGACAUCUCUCAGCAGGAUGGCCUCCUGUCUGUGAAGCUGAGGCACAGCAUGGGUUUGGGGCCGUCAUUCAUUUGUACAUUUGUUCAUUCACUUUUAUUCAUCGACUCAUUCAUUCCAAAAUAUCCGCUCAAUCUCUGCUGUAGGAGAAAUGGUGUGACAUAGUAACUAAGGGCAGAUCGCCUGGGCUUGAAUUUCGUUUCUGCUGUUUCCAAAUUCUGUGACUCUGAGUAAGUUACUUCACCGCUUUAUGGCUCAGUUUCCUGAUGUGUACAUUGCAGAAAAUAGUAGCGCCUGCCUAUGGAAGUAUAACUGAGUUAAUAACACAUGUAAAAUUCAGAUAAAAUGAAAAGGGUAGGCUGGACGCAGUGGCUCAUGCUUGUAAUCCCAGCACUUUGGGAGGCCGAGGCGGGUGGAUCAUGAGGUCAGAAGACUGAGACCAUCCUGGCUAACAUGGUGAAACCUAGUCUCUACUAAAAAUGCAAAAAAUUAGGCAGGUGUGGUGGUGGGCGCCUGUAGUCCCAGCUACUCGGGAAACUGAGGCAGGAGAAUGGAGUGAACUCAGGAGGCGGAGCUUGUAGUGAAGCGAAACCUCGCCACUGCACUCUAGCCUGAGUGACAGAGCGAAACUCCAUCCCAAGGAAAAAAAAAAA